rnacentral:rRNA from 1 species
AAUGAACGCUGGCGGCGCGCCUAAUACAUGCAAGUCGAGCGAGAAGACGUAGCAAUACGUUUGUAAAGCGGCGAACGGGUGAGGAAUACAUGGGUAACCUACCCUAGAGUGGGGAAUAACUAGCCGAAAGGUUAGCUAAUACCGCGUACGCUCCUUGGACUUCGGUUCAGGGAGGAAAGCGAUGCCGAGGGUAAUCGGCGCUCUUGGAUGGGCUCAUGUCCUAUCAGCUUGNGGUGAGGUAACGGCUCACCAAGGCUUCGACGGGUAGCUGGUCUGAGAGGACGAUCAGCCACACUGGCACUGCGACACGGGCCAGACUCCUACGGGAGCAGCAGUAAGAUAUUGCNCAAUGGGCGAAAGCCUGACGCAGCGACG